AAAUAAUAAUAUGAAUAACUUUGUCGUCUCAAUUAUUGAUUUAAUAAUAUAAAAUAUUGUGACAAUAAUUGAAUCAAUAACGUGAGAUACAAUGCAGCAAUUAUUAUGGCAAUAAUUGAAAUAAACAGUGUGACUUCUCACGUAAGCAUCAAUAAUCAAAGAUAAUGUACAAUAUCGCGUGCUACUAUGCAACCACAUGUAUUACUGUACUUUUAUCACCAGGUAUUUCAACAGCUAAUGGUAAAACUUUCGCCUUUAUUUUUAUAAAAAGUUAUUUUUGUCAUUUUCUAACUCCGACAGUAAUUCCGUUGUGUGGUCCACCAAUGAUUGUGUCGUCGUACGAAUAUUCCGUGAUAAAACGAAUAUUCCCCGAGCAAAUGAAUAUUUUAUGACAACUUGCUUACUUUGCAAAAUAUUACCCACAACUAUAACAUUAUAUCAAAUCCACACCAUAAUAUUCAAAAUAAUAUUUAGAGAACAUUAAUCUUUAUUCAUAAAAGUUGGGGUCUUACAUUGUAUGUUCCAAAUCAAAUAAGUUUGGACAAUUAAUAGUGUGGGUUGCACCCCGUGCAAUAAUGUGUUUUUGUGAGCCAAUAUUAACAUGAUUACACCCCGUGCAAUGAAGUGUUUGCUAAUGAAGUGUUAAAAAUGUUAAAGGAAAGGAAUCUAAUUUAUUCUUGUUUAUUCAAGUAACUUCAUAAUUAAUGUUCAAUUGUUGAAGAAUUUAAAAAUAAUUACUCUAUUGUUGAGAUUAAUGUUGUUUACUCAACUGCAUAUACUUGUUGAGCAAUUAAAUGCUAACCCUUGCAAAUUCGAAAUCCUUUGUAGCUACAGAAGAAAGACCUAAAUGGUCAGAUGGUGUUAAGAGAAAGAAAUGCAUAAAGAGAGAAGAUUUAAAUGUAUAGAAGGACAUGUUGAUUUAUGAGUUUUUAUUUUUAUGAUGAUAACAUAUAUUUUGUAUGGAGAUGUUUUAUGAUUUUCAGGUUAUGGACUAAUUAUGCAUGUAUCAAGAUUUCAAGUGGGUCUUCAUGAAGAAAUAUUAUUUAGAGCCACCACAUGGUUAGGUUCAUAGGAUCUCACCUAGGAAAUCAAAUGUAAGAAUUUUUAGCUCAUUUAAUUAAUUUCAAGACAAUUUUAUUUUGCUAGAAAUUAUUUUACAAAAGAAGGUUUCAUGUGCUUAAAAUUUAAAUCCUUUAAUAAGUUAUUUUUGGAAACCAAAUCAAUGGAGAAAUAUUUAGCCAUGUUUUCCAAAGGUAUUUUAAUAUCAAAGAUAUUAUCCGUUAUUUCAAAAGCUAAAAAUUUAAAUUCAAAAGGUAGAAAUAUUUAUUUGGAAGCCAUAUCAAUUAAAGAAUUAUUUUCCAAAGCUAUAUCACUAUAGAGAUAUUUUCAUAAUCUAAUGGAGCUAAUUUUUCUUAUCCAUAUCCCUUGAUUCAAGCUAUUUAGUUUUAAAUUUCAAAUCCCUUUCUUAUUAGUUUGUUCCUAUCUUUCUUUGGGAUUGCUGAAAUUGGGUAAUUGGUUUUAUUGUUGUUGGUCCUUCUUCCUAUAUGUAUCUUCCAUUGCUUAAGUUUCAAAACCAACGAAGAGAGCUUUAACAGAAAAAUUUCUAGCAAAAUUGUUCUUGCCUUGUUCUUAAUUUCUUGUGCUAGAAAUUCAUAGAUAUAUUGUAAUCAUAUUCGUUCAUACUAAAACUUGUAUACAAGCCUAGUUUGGCUUGUGUGAUCCAGUGGUGGAUAGGCCUGAACAAAAAAAAAAGCUCUAAGGUUACAGUGGUGCAAGUGGUUACAGUUGUGCAAAGAGGGCAGUGGUGUCCAACAAUAUUCAGAGCUUCUUUGUAAUAGAGAGUAUUUGUAAUUAAUUGAAUAUCUAUUUGAAUAAAGGAGUCUCCAAUACCAAUUGGUAUUGGAUGUGGAUUAAGCCAUUAGAGGUUAAGGGAAGAACCACGUAAAAAUCUUGGUGUUCUUAUUUACUGUUUAUCUUGUUGCAUUGUUUCAAUUCUGCACUUAAAUACACUUCAUAUUCUACAUUUAUAAA
rnacentral:lncRNA from 1 species